AUGCAGACCGCCCCGACGAUCUUAAUCCAGACUUUCGUCACUCAGUUGAUCACAGUGAACCCUAACCCAGACAGUAUUCUCCAGAACGUCCCAGACAGCAUGUCUACUGAGAUCCCCAGGUCCCUGCUGCAGGGCUUCUCUCAGAGCAGUGUGGUGGUGGAGAAACUGAACCAGAAGACAUGGAGACACGAACAGGUGACGGGGAGCACACACACACACACACACACACACACACACACACACACACACACACACACACACACACACACACACACACACACACACACUCUGAAUUUAAGAAACUAUAAUACUGUUCUUUUAUUUUCAGGCUGUGUUGUUCUUUGACACAGUGGCUCUAGGAAUUGACAACUCCGACAAGUGAGUCUGGGAACAUCUGCAUAUUGUGAUGUACAGUAUAUAUACACAGAUAUAUAUAUAU
rnacentral:lncRNA from 1 species